UGCGCAGGCGGUUUUGUAAGUCAGAUGUGAAAUCCCCGGGCUCAACCUGGGAAUGGCAUUUGAGACUGCAAGGCUAGAGUGUGUCAGAGGGGGUAGAAUUCCACGUGUAGCAGUGAAAUGCGUAGAGAUGUGGAGGAACACCGAUGGCGAAGGCAGCCCCCUGGGAUAACACUGACGCUCAUGCACGAAAGCGUGGGGAGCAAACAGGAUUAGAUACCCUGGUAGUCCACGCCCUAAACGAUGUCGACUAGUUGUCGGGUCUUAAUUGACUUGGUAACGCAGCUAACGCGUGAAGUCGACCGCCUGGGGAGUACGGUCGCAAGAUUAAA
rnacentral:rRNA from 1 species